rnacentral:sRNA from 1 species
ACACAGGUCGUGUGUCUCACGUCGCCACUUCACAGUUGAGGACCCCGUGACCCACUUUGCUCAGUGCUGCGCAAGAUGAGUAAUGACCUGAAACAGGGAAAAUGUCUUGGAUACAUCUUGUGUAAUGAGGAGAAAAAUGCAGCCAUGUUGCAGCCUGAUAAAAUACUCUGCCAGUAUCCUGCCAUAAAAUGACAGUCAAAUUUUCAGUAACAGAUUCUCUAAUAGUUCUAUGGUCUUCUAGAUGCUAAACUGUUUAAGUAUCUACAUUUUCUAAGCCCACCUAAUGGAAAUAUUCUCAAAAAACAUAAACCCUUUAUUCUUUCUCAAAUAGGUUACAUUAGUUAUAAUAUACACUCUGGAGGUGACUUGACUUGUCAUUGUGAACAACUAUUGCUCUUGGACGACCCAGGACAUAGGCCAGCCAGUACGUACCCCAGUGUGUUGGAGAAUCGCACUCGGCUUCUUCCUCUGUGCUGAGUCAUGAAAGUUGCCGGAGCAGGUGCAGUUACACAACCUCCAGGUAUGAUCCUGUUUAAGGACUGGAUUUAGGAUAACUACUUAGAGGUUAAAAGUCACAAGGGUGUAUGGAUGAGGCUGGAGUG